AUUGAACGCUGGCGGCAGGCCUAACACAUGCAAGUCGAGCGCGCGGCGGACGGGUGUGUAAUGUCUGGGAAACUGCCUGAUGGAGGGGGAUAACUACUGGAACCGGUAGCUCAUACCGCAUACCCUCUGAUGUGCACAGAUGGGAUUAGCUCGUGGGUGGGGUAACGGCUCCCCUAGGCGACGAUCCCUAUCUGGUCUGAGAGGAUGACCAGCCACACUGGAACUGAGACACGGUCCAGACUCCUACGGGAGGCAGCAGUGGGGAAUAUUGCACAAUGGGCGCAAGCCUGAUGCAGCCAUGCCGCGUGUGUGAAGAAGGCCUUCGGGUUGUAAAGCACUUUCAGCGGGGAGGCGUUACCCGCAGAAGAAGCACCGGCUAACUCCGUGCCAGCAGCCGCGGUAAUAC
rnacentral:rRNA from 1 species